rnacentral:tRNA from 1 species
UCCCGGCGCGGUGCGCGGGGGUCUGCGGGGCCUGCGGGGCCCCUGGGGCGGACGCGGCGGGGCGCACGGUGCCGUUCCGGUACGGCGCGUGGGGGG